rnacentral:rRNA from 1 species
UACGGGGGGGGCAAGCGUUGUUCGGAAUUACUGGGCGUAAAGGGCUCGUAGGCGGCCAACUAAGUCCGACGUGAAAUCCCCAGGCUCAACCUGGGAACUGCGUCGGAUACUGGAUGGCUUGAAUUCGGGAGAGGGAUGCAGAAUUCCAGGUGUAGCGGUGAAAUGCGUAGAUAUCUGGAGGAAUACCGGUGGCGAAGGCGGCUACCUGGACAAUUGCUGACGCUCAGGCACGAAAGCGUGGGGAGCAAAAGGG